UUGAACGCUGGCGGCGUGCCUAAUACAUGCAAGUCGAGCGAACGGACGAGAAGCUUGCUUCUCUGAUGUUAGCGGCGGACGGGUGAGUAACACGUGGAUAACCUACCUAUAAGACUGGGAUAACUUCGGGAAACCGGAGCUAAUACCGGAUAAUAUUUUGAACCGCAUGGUUCAAAAGUGAAAGACGGUCUUGCUGUCACUUAUAGAUGGAUCCGCGCUGCAUUAGCUAGUUGGUAAGGUAACGGCUUACCAAGGCAACGAUGCAUAGCCGACCUGAGAGGGUGAUCGGCCACACUGGAACUGAGACACGGUCCAGACUCCUACGGGAGGCAGCAGUAGGGAAUCUUCCGCAAUGGGCGAAAGCCUGACGGAGCAACGCCGCGUGAGUGAUGAAGGUCUUCGGAUCGUAAAACUCUGUUAUUAGGGAAGAACAUAUGUGUAAGUAACUGUGCACAUCUUGACGGUACCUAAUCAGAAAGCCACGGCUAACUACGUGCCAGCAGCCGCGGUAAUACGUAGGUGGCAAGCGUUAUCCGGAAUUAUUGGGCGUAAAGCGCGCGUAGGCGGUUUUUUAAGUCUGAUGUGAAAGCCCACGGCUCAACCGUGGAGGGUCAUUGGAAACUGGAAAACUUGAGUGCAGAAGAGGAAAGUGGAAUUCCAUGUGUAGCGGUGAAAUGCGCAGAGAUAUGGAGGAACACCAGUGGCGAAGGCGACUUUCUGGUCUGUAACUGACGCUGAUGUGCGAAAGCGUGGGGAUCAAACAGGAUUAGAUACCCUGGUAGUCCACGCCGUAAACGAUGAGUGCUAAGUGUUAGGGGGUUUCCGCCCCUUAGUGCUGCAGCUAACGCAUUAAGCACCCCGCCUGGGGAGUACGACCGCAAGGUUGAAACUCAAAGGAAUUGACGGGGACCCGCACAAGCGGUGGAGCAUGUGGUUUAAUUCGAAGCAACGCGAAGAACCUUACCAAAUCUUGACAUCCUUUGACAACUCUAGAGAUAGAGCUUUCCCCUUCGGGGGACAAAGUGACAGGUGGUGCAUGGUUGUCGUCAGCUCGUGUCGUGAGAUGUUGGGUUAAGUCCCGCAACGAGCGCAACCCUUAAGCUUAGUUGCCAUCAUUAAGUUGGGCACUCUAAGUUGACUGCCGGUGACAAACCGGAGGAAGGUGGGGAUGACGUCAAAUCAUCAUGCCCCUUAUGAUCUGGGCUACACACGUGCUACAAUGGACAAUACAAAGGGCAGCGAAACCGCGAGGUCAAGCAAAUCCCAUAAAGUUGUUCUCAGUUCGGAUUGUAGUCUGCAACUCGACUACAUGAAGCUGGAAUCGCUAGUAAUCGUAGAUCAGCAUGCUACAAAGAAUACGUUCCCGGGUCU
rnacentral:rRNA from 1 species